rnacentral:tRNA from 1 species
CAUUGAUAGCUUAGAUUUAAAGCCACCUAUUUCAAGACAACCUUUAACUAAAUUUUCAAUACUUUU